UGAAAUGUUGGAGCCAUAACCCCAUAGGUUCCAUAGACAGUAUGAAAUGUUGGAGCCAUAACCCCAUAGGUUCCAUAGACAGUAUGAAAUGUUGGAGCCAUAACCCCAUAGGUUCCAUAGACAGUAUGAAAUGUUUGAGCCAUAACCCCAUAGGUUCCAUAGACAGUAUGAAAUGUUUGAGCCAUAACCCCAUAGGUUCCAUAGACAGUAUGAAAUGUUUGAGCCAUAACCCCAUAGGUUCCAUAGACAGUAUGAAAUGUUUGAGCCAUAACCCCAUAGGUUCCAUAGACAGUAUGAAAUGUUUGAGCCAUAACCCCAUAGGUUCCAUAGACAGUAUGAAAUGUUGAGCCAUAACCCCAUAGGUUCCAUAGACAGUAUGAAAUGUUGGAGCCAUAACCCCAUAGGUUCCAUAGACAGUAUGAAAUGUUGGAGCCAUAACCCCAUAGGUUCCAUAGACAGUAUGAAAUGUUGGAGCCAUAACCCCAUAGGUUCCAUAGACAGUAUGAAAUGUUGGAGCCAUAACCCCAUAGGUUCCAUAGACAGUAUGAAAUGUUGAGCCAUAACCCCAUAGGUUCCAUAGACAGUAUGACAUGUUGGAGCCAUAACCCCAUAGGUUCCAUAGACAGUAUGAAAUGUUUGAGCCAUAACCCCAUAGGUUCCAUAGACAG